rnacentral:lncRNA from 1 species
UCUCCAAACUAUUAAACGCCUUGACACAUAUUCUUUUGUUUUCCACACAAACUUCUUUGUUCCAACACACAAGGGGAGGUCAAGAAUGUGUCUCGCGCCUUCUUAUUUGCUUCCCGAAGGGACCUUGGCGACGCGAUGGCAUAGGCACGUUUUACGGGCCCCUGCCAUCGUGGAAACUAGGAGGCAGGGCUUACCAGGACCCGUGGUUCCAGCGACAGACAGCAAGCUGCAGCAGUGUAUAUGUUCUCCUACGACGCAUCCAGGGUCAUUUCGCUGCAGGUACCAUCAUGCUGAGUAUGUAUGGGGAUGUCGCAACUCGCAAGCUGUGAAGUUAUCCUGAAAUUAAAUUGAAUAAAAAGGUCAGAUGUUAAUAAUUUUAAUAAAGCCUGCUCUCUGUUUCUGUGUUUCGGUGAGUGUCGAUGUAUAUUUCCCGGAACCGCGGAUUAAUCAGAGAUAUAUGAAAAGCAGAUUCUGAAUGAAUGAAAAGUAUGUGUUUAUUCAUUUAUUUUUCAGGUGCUUUCUGAAGUGUGUGGAAAAUAAAAAUCAAUAUCCGACAAUUGCAGGUAGAGCGGUAUCAUAGCCAUGAUAAUCUUUACCUGCAAUGAUGCACAAGUGCCAAUUUAUAUAUUUAUGAUGUAAAAAACUGAUGUCUCAUAAACGUGAAAUUAUUAGAUACUUCAAACAUGCUCUGGAAAUGAAUUCUAUGCCAGAAGCAAGCCAAAUUUAAAAACUUCAGAUAUAUUUAGUAUCCAUGAGACUGGCCUAAUAUGUAUACUUUUGUAAGGACUGCAGAUAAAACUGCAUGACUAGAGUGAGAGUAAUUGUAAUAGUCGAAGUGAAAUGCCAGAUAGUAAUUGGUAAAGGAAAUCAAGAAAGCAUAUUCCACGGUGGCUGAAACCCGGAAUUAAUUUCAGGUGCUAUCCAAUUAUUAGUAGACAAUUUGCUGGAGAUGUAAAGUAGUUCCGCAUAGAUGCUACCGAGUGUGAAUUCAAAUACAAAGAAUCCAGCUUUGCAGUGUUUUUCAAGGCUGUUGGAGGAC